rnacentral:rRNA from 1 species
CCUACGGGGGGCAGCAGUGGGGAAUAUUGCACAAUGGGGGAAACCAUGAUGCAGCAACGUCGCGUGAGCGAUGAAGGCCUUCUGGUCGGAAAGCUCUGUUCUAAGUGAAGAAUACUGACGGUACCUUAGGAGUAAUCCCCGGCUAACUAGGGGCCAGCAGCCGCGGUAAUACGUAUGGGGCUAGCGUGAUCCGGAAUUACUGGGCGUAAAGGGUGGGUAGGCGGCACAUCAAGUCAGUGGUGAAAGGCUACGGCUCAACCGUAGUAAGCCUUUGAAACUGUAGGGCUUGAGUGCAGGAGAGGAGAAUGGAAUACCCAGUGUAGCGGUGAAAUGCGUAGAAAUUGGGAGGAACACCAGUUGCGAAUGCGGCUCUCUGGACUGUAACGGACGCUGAGGCACGAAAGCGUGGGGAGCGAACAGGAUUAGAUACGCUAGUCGUC